GAUGAACGCUGGCGGCGUGCCUAAUACAUGCAAGUCGAGCGAACAGAUGAGGAGCUUGCUCCUCUGACGUUAGCGGCGGACGGGUGAGUAACACGUGUAUAACCUACCUAUAAGACGGGGAUAACUUCGGGAAACCGGAGCUAAUACCGGAUAAUAUAUUGAACCGCAUGGUUCAAUAGUGAAAGACGGUUUUGCUGGCACUUAUAGAUGGAUCCGCGCGGCAUUAGCUAGUUGGUAAGGUAACGGCUUACCAAGGCAACGAUGCGUAGCCGACCUGAGAGGGUGAUAGGCCACACUGGAACUGAGACACGGUCCAGAGUACUACGGGAGGCAGCAGUAGGGAAUCUUCCGCAAUGGGCGAAAGCCUGACGGAGCAACGCCGCGUGAGUGAUGAAGGUCUUCGGAUCGUAAAACUCUGUUAUUAGGGAAGAACAAAUGUGUAAGUAACUAUGCACGUCGUGACGGUACCUAAUCAGAAAGCCACGGCUAACUACGUG
rnacentral:rRNA from 1 species